rnacentral:lncRNA from 1 species
UCAUUUUACUCUACAUUCUAACGUCGUCCUCCUUUCUUUGUUUCUACAUAUUUUCCUUUCCUUUUAUUACAAGCUAGAUAACCGUCAUUCCUUUUGACCCUUGAGCCCUUUCACCAUUUCUAAAAAUCAGAAAGGUUGCUUUGGGGCUGCAUGUCUUCCUCCUCAUUUGGCAUUUAAAUCGAUGGUCCUUCUUCAAUUUCUAUUUCUUUGGCCUCUUCCAUUUCCCCAACCCUAGCCACCUUCAUCACCUGACUCGCCUUUCAGGCCCUUUAUCUCUUCCAAUGUUAGUGAGGAGAGGAGGCCUUUGGAUGUUUCAUGACCUUUUCUAAGGUAUCUGUUUAGAGGUUUUUAGCAGCCCCAAUUUUUCCUCUUUUUUGUUCAACCAUGUUUCUUUCUCCGUUUUCGGCAUUCGAGUGACUAUCUUUAACCGACCACCUACUGUUUGUCUCUCUCCACCUCUUCAAUUUCCCAUUCUAGCAUUUCAUCGUUUAGAUAAGUGCUCCGUUCUCUUUAUAACCCCUCUUUUUCUAGGAUAUGGGCCACUGCAUUUCCAAAUAUCGAUGUCUGACCGAAUUUAUAGUUUCAAAAAUUUAGACUAUUUGUUUCCAGAUCAACGGUAUACGCCAUUAUAACUAACUCUUCCUAUUUUCUGUUUGCCAUUUUUUAACCACUAUAAGUGUGUUUCCUUUAAUAAUCACAUUUCCCAACCCUAGAUCCAUCCCCAUGUUAACUACUUAAAGACAUGCAAGGGCUUCUGCUGUAAAAACUGAGGGUACACAUUUGUUAAUACGCAUUUAGGCUCCAAGUACACUACCAUUUAGAUCUCUAACUACCAUGCUCGAACAUGAUUUCAGUAAAUGGGUCUGGAAGGUCGCAUCGUAAUUUAUUUUCACAAAUGGUUGUUCGGGAGGUUUCUAUCAUUCUACUUUAUCCUCCUAGUAGGUAACUUCUCUUUUGUUGCAUUUAUUUCUAAAAUAUAGGGUUUUGUACCUUUUUUGCUAUUUUUGGGCUGUUUGCACCACUCUUUUGUGUAUAAUUUUAUUUCUUAUUGUUCAUAACACCCAUAUAGCACAUGCCACUAUUCUACAUCCCUGAUUUGACAUACCUGCAAAAAGUUCUGCUACCUAAUCUUGAUAACUUAGAACUGAACUCUUUUGUGACCAUUGUAUAUUUAAUUCCUGCCAUACUUGACCUGCAAUUGUACAAUCCCUAAACACAUGCUUAAGAUUUUUUGCAUCAUUUGAACAUUCGGGACACUCCGUCGUGUUAGUAAGGCACCUCUAAUAGAGAUUAUGGAAGUUUUGGAUAUGGUUUUUGAAAAUUCUCUACUUUGUAAUCCUUAUUUUGCUUGGUAAAUCUAUUUGUCAUAGCUUUUUUUUUUUUUUGUAAAAUGGUAUGUAAUUGUUCAAAUUUUCAUUAAGAUUAAGAAUAUUUGUACCUUGUAUUAAGAAUUUGUAACCGCUUCUAACCAAGUACUCCCCAGAAGCUUCCUCCUCCAAGCCAACAUGUCGUCCUGAGGUGUCUGAGCAAGAGGAAUACACAAUAUUUUCGUGGCUUCAUCAAUUGUGAAUUUAUUAGUAAUGAGUUGCAUUUUUCAUCUUUUGUUUUCUUGAUCAAUUAAAUCAGAAACAAUAUUUAUUUGUAAGCUACUAAUAUUCGAAGUUAUUUUGUGAUCUGUCAAACAUUGAUAUUACUCCCCGUUCCUACCCGCCAACACAUACCUCCUAGAAGGAGUCCCUUGCCUGCCCAUAUGCUCUUCCAGGUAUAUGAAGGGUGAGUAUUGUAACAGCCCAUUUCCAGUAAAAUCAGAACAGUGGUUUUGGGACCAUAAAUCUGAGUCCGAUAGAAAAUUUAUUUUAAUAUUAUUUCAUGGUCUACAUUAUGAUAAAAA